UGGGAUGUAGCUCAAGUGGUAGUGCACUCGCCUGGCAUGCGAGAGGCACUGGGUUCGUUCCUCAGCACCACAU
rfam:Ictidomys tridecemlineatus contig049853, whole genome shotgun sequence.